GAUGAACGCUGGCGGCGUGCCUAAUACAUGCAAGUCGAACGAACAGACGAUGCGCUUGUUCCUUUCACGUUAGCGGCGGGCGGGAGAGUAACACGUGGAUAACCUACCUAUCAGUCUGGGAUAACCUCGGGAAACCGGAGAUAAUACCGGAUAAUAUAUCGCACCGCAUGGUUCAAUGGUGAAUGACGGCUUUGCUGUCACUUAUAGCUGGAUCUGCGCUGGUUUAGCUGGUUGGUAGGGUAACAGCCUACCAAGGGUACGAUGCGUAGCCGACCUGAGGGGGUGAUCGGCGGCACGGGAGCUGAGACACGGUCCAGGCGCCUGCGAGAGGCAGCAGUAGGGAAUGUUCGGCAAUGGUCGGGAGCCUGGCGGAGCAAGGCCGCGUGAGUGGUGAAGGUCUUCCGUGCGGAAAGCUCUCUUAUGGGUUAUAAACAGCUGUGGAAUUAGACGUAGCGGGAUUGACGGUACCGAAUCAGAAAGCAACGGCUAACUACGUG
rnacentral:rRNA from 1 species